rnacentral:sRNA from 1 species
ACCUUUGGGAGCAGAGCAGGUUGCUGGCAAGGAACCCAUGUCCUCUGGGGCGAGGACACGGCUUCUGGCUCCUGGCCCUGCUGUCCUCACUGGCCUCUCUCUUGUCCCAGGCGGCUGAUAAAGGAAGCAGGAAGCGCUAUGAACCAUCAGACAAGGACAGGCAGAGCCCUCCUCCAGCCAAGCGGGCCAACACAUCCCCAGACCGAGGUUCUCGGGACCGGAAGUCAGGUGGGAGACUGGGCUCCCCGAAGCCAGAGCGGCAGAGAGGCCAGAACUCCAAAGCCCCUGCAGCCCCGGCUGACAGGAAGCGCCAGCUGUCACCCCAGUCCAAGAGCUCCAGCAAGGUCACGAGCGUGCCCGGCAAAGCCUCGGAUCCCGGCGCCGCCAGCACCAAAUCAGGGAAGGCCAGCACGCUGUCUCGGCGGGAGGAGCUGCUGAAACAGCUGAAGGCCGUGGAGGAUGCUAUUGCACGCAAGCGGGCCAAGAUCCCCGGGAAAGCAUAGGCCGUGCCCCGACCGGACUGGACGCAUUUUUAUACAUAGGGUAAGCGCAGCCAUUUUGGAUUUUGCAGUUAAUGUCUUAUUUUGGCUGUGAUUCUUUUUAAAAAGUAAAAAAGAAAAAAAAGUUU